GUGCCAUCUACAUCUGCAAUAAUUGUUACAUCUUCAGCUGCUACAAGUGUCCCACAACCUCCACAACAACUACAGAUAUAGGGUCCAGCACCCUGGACCGAUUAGCAAUCUGUCAUUUUUGCGGUG